UGAAUGGGCAACGAUUCGCGUGUCUCACGGGCCCCUGGUAGCGUACACCGGUUCUUCGUUCCGUUGGCUCGAUCGUUUCGAGCGUCGUCGUUUGAGGCCGCCGCGAUCGUGGAAGCUGCAGCCGCGAUCGCGGGGACGAGGACGAAGCGUAUCGGCGCGAAAAGCGGUAAAGAGGCGAGGCGAGCGUAGGAGUGAGCGACGGUGGAAACGUCGCGGAAGGAGAGACGACGAGCGACGGACGAGCGAAAAUAAGAGACAGGCGGAGUGAAAGAAGAGGGUAAACGGGACAAGAAGGAAUUCCUGAGCGGUUCUCUCCGUCUACGCGGCGUCUCUUACUCCGACGCGAAAUUAGGGUUGGGAUUCUUUGACGAAUUCGUCUGUUUACGAAUAUUCGAACGCUGAAGUGGGUCAGGCGUUUGUCGAAUGCACCGCGGGAACCCUGACCGAAGUUCGGUCACCGAACCAAUGACUAUACUUCGUCUACAAGUGCUACCUGUCGUUGUUAACGAUACAUAAACGUAAAUAAUAUCGGGUUGUUCCAAAAAUGUUUAAUAGAAG